GAACCCGGAGAUAGCUGGUUCUCCUCGAAAUAGCUUUAGGGCUAGCCUCAUGGAUCAUUGGUGGGGGUAGAGCACUGAAUGUGCGCGGGGGCCACAAAGCCUACCAAACGCUAUCAAACUUCGAAUACCAUACAAUGCAGACCAUGGGAGUCAGUCCGCGAGAGAUAAGUUCCGCGGGCAAAAGGGGAACACCCCAGAUCAACCGCUAAGGUCCCCAAGUUCACGUUAAGUGGAGAAGGAUGUGGAAUUGCACAGACAACCAGGAUGUUGGCUCAGAAGCAGCCACACAUUUAAAGAGUGCGUAAUAGCUCACUGGUCGAGUGAUUGUGCGCCGAAGAUGUCCGGGGCUAAACGUGACACCGAAGCGAUGGGUGCGUCUGAAGAAGAUGCGCGGUAGAGGAGCAAUGUGCAGAGGCAGAAGCCGUAUCGAGAGGCACGGUGGACACUGCACAAGAGAGAAUGCCGGUAUGAGUAGCGAGAGGCAUGCGAGAAACAUGCCCGUCGAAAGCCCAAGGUUUCCUGGGGAAGGUUCAUCCGCCCAGGGUAAGUCGGGGCCUAAGCCGAGGACGGAAGUCGUAGGCGAUGGACAGCAGGUGUAGAUUCCUGCACUACCGAUGGAAUGAAGCAGUGACACAGAAGGAUAACUCGAGCAGGGUGAUGGUCAACCCUGUGCAAGCAUCGAGGUUGGGUUGUAGUGAAGUACGCAACCCUAUAAGCUGAGGUGUGAUGCGGACCGAAAUUUCAGUAGGGAAGCGAGUGAGUUCACGCUGGCGAGAAAAGCUGCUAGUACAUCCAAAGGUACCCGUACCGGAAACCGACGCAGGUGGGCGAGGAGAGAAUCCUGAGACGAACGGGAGAACCCUUGUUAAGGAACUCGGCAAAAUGACCCCGUAACUUCGGGAUAAGGGGUGCCUGCGAGAGCAGGCCGCAGAGAAUAGUCACAAGCGACUGUUUAGCAAAAACACAGGUAUCUGCGAAAGCGAGAGCUGACGUAUAGGUGCUGACACCUGCCCGGUGCUGGAAGGUUAAGGGAACAUGUUAGAGCAAUCGAAGCAUCGAACCGAAGCCCCAGUAAACGGCGGCCGUAACUAUAACGGUCCUAAGGUAGCGAAAUUCCUUGUCGGGUAAGUUCCGACCCGCACGAAUGGUGUAACGACUUGUGAGCUGUCUCAACAGGGGGCCCGGUGAAAUUGAAGUAUGGGUGAAGAUGCCCAUUACCCGCGACUGGACGGAAAGACCCCGUAGAGCUUUACUGCAGCCUGAUAUUGAGUUUCGGUAAUUGAUGCACAGGAUAGGUGGGAGUCUGAGAGACAUGGGUUUCGGCUCGUGUGGAGACGAUGUUGGGAUACCACUCUUCGGUUACUGAAAUUCUAACAUAGCUCUGUGAAACCAGAGGAUGGACAGUGUCAGGUGGACAGUUUGACUGGGGCGGUCGCCUCCGAAAGAGUAACGGAGGCGCCCAAAGGUACCCUCAGAAUGGAUGGAAACCAUUCGAAGAGCGCAAAGGCAGAAGGGUGCCUGACUGCGAGAGUGACAACUCGAGCAGAGACGAAAGUCGGGCUUAGUGAUCCGGCGGUAUUGAGUGGAAAAGCCGUCGCUUAACGGAUAAAAGCUACCUCGGGGAUAACAGGCUGAUCUCCCCCAAGAGUCCACAUCGACGGGGAGGUUUGGCACCUCGAUGUCGGCUCAUCGCAUCCUGGGGCUGAAUUCGGUCCCAAGGGUUUGGCUGUUCGCCAAUUAAAGCGGCACGCGAGCUGGGUUCAGAACGUCGUGAGACAGUUCGGUCCCUAUCCAUCGUGGGCGUAGGAGUCAUGAGAGGAGCUGUUCCUAGUACGAGAGGACCGGAAUGGACGCACCACUGGUGCAACUGUUGUCGUGCCAACGGCAUAGCAGGGAAGCGAAGUGCGGAUGGGAUAAACGCUGAAGGCAUCUAAGCGUGAAGCCCACCUCAAGAAUAAGACUCCACAAUAGACCCCUGGAGGACUACCAGGUAGAUAGGUCAUCGGUGGAAGCGCUGUAAGGCGUGU
rnacentral:rRNA from 1 species